ensembl:lncRNA
AUCGAACUCGUUCACGCUUUAGGAGGAGCACAUCAGCACUUUUUUCUCUCAAUCUCUGGAUCAAAUUGGAUUUUCAACAACCUCACUGGAGUUUGUUCCUGUCGAGUCGUUAAAACCUGCUGAGGGGAGAAGCAGCAAGUCCUGAAUUCAGAAAGUACGAGGAAGGGAAGGCGGUCACCUUCAGACCGCAGCCGGCCCUGCACUUACUGCUCGAGCUCUUUAUGUGACUAAAAUUGUCAUCUUUUGUGACCGUUUCUACUUCCCGACUCAUCCUGCUGACUCAUCCUGCCAACACACACUCAUUCCUAAUGAGCUGAUCAGUGACUCAGAAGUGUGACAGUGCUGACAGAGGACUGCAGGUGAACGUGAAUUUAAAGGAGAUGAACGAGUGAUAUUUGUACUUUUCUGGACACACUCCUUGUGGCCUCACGUGUCUUUCAGUGACUUUAAACUGAACGAGUUUUAAUAGAUGGUUCACCCGCUAACGAUGCAGCUAAUCUGUAGCCAGCUAAUCAUGAUGGACAGACGAGUGGAAGAUGGGUAAUAAAUAGUCUGAUUUGGUGCUUUGUGUACUCGGGUUUUUGCCUUUCGGUGACUUUGACUAAAUUUCAACAGCCAAGCAAGGUUUGUGCAAAAUAUCUGCCAGCAAAGUAGCUAAUCUGUAGCCACAAGCUGCAGCUUCCCACAAGGAUUAAACCUUCCUGCCUGUUAGCUUACAGCGACUUACCAGGCCUCUGCAGUGAGAGCUGUCUGCAGAGACUGUGGCUGAUUCUUCUUGUUUUCUUGUCCCAGAAUCAGUGAACUACAUGCCAGCUGGGGCAGUUAGCAAUGCAGGUCAAUAGUUCCUGUCUGCCUUUCGUGUUAAGCGACAUGCUUUUGUCAGCUCAAGCCUCUCUGAACCCUUAAUGACUGAGCAGAUACACGAGCACAUGUGCAAAUGUUUGAAAUCAGACAGCACUGAGUUUGAAGGCUGAUGACAACCUACUGGAUCCCCGUCAAUGCUGAGUUUGCAGGCCAGCUUUAGCCAUAGACGUUAAUAUUACUGACUGGGCAGCUAAUAUAACUCGCUGUAUAUUAUUUCCAUUUCACAAUAAUUCUGCAAGUGUCUUUAUUAAUCGUGAAGUUGGUUCUUUUAUCUCACCAGCAGCUAAAAUCCCACAAGUGUUAAUGACACCAUCAUAUAUGACAACAAAAAGCUCUACCCAGCUCUGCUUUAACAGAGUCCAAUGAUUAACCGAUUAUCAGGUGUUUCUCUAGAUAAGUUCAAGUUCAGCUCUUUGACACUGAUCUAAAUAACUACAAACAUAGAGACUCACUGGUGGAGUCCUGAGUGAUAAAGUCAAGCAACAGAAAAAAUAAAAUUUGAGAAACCCAGGCUGAUUGUAAUUCUGAUUAAAAACGAAGCAUGUAGAAAUGUAUGUAAAAGGUAAUUGUACGUGUUAAAUAUAACUCUAAUUAUAGUUCGUUUGUUCCAGCGGGGAGGAAGUCCUUCCUUUUGUAAAUAUUUCAGCCUUUUUUUAAGAUGAUAGGAAUUUGACUAUUUGAAUAAUUAAAAUUCAAAGCUCGAGUAGUGUUCAUCAUGAUGGUGUGCUUUAAUCAGAUUCAGUAUACGUGUCCUAAAAUUCUGUUUUCCACACAGCCAGUCAUUCUAGCAGUGCUGCAGGAGAACUAACUUAUUUUCCAAUGGAAACUUUGUCACAUUUGUUCGGAACACUCAAAAAACACACCUCAGCUUCACUUUCUGAGUCACCGCCUUCAUUAGAGUCUCGCUGACUUACUGUCGGCCGAUCUGACUGACAAACUGACUCUCACAGCGUGCUUUCGGCAGAUAAGACGGGAUUCAUCAACAGAAAGACGUGACACCGGCUGGAAAAACACCCGGCACCCCUGCCCGCGCCUCCCUCUCCAAGGGCACGCAGCAGGGAAACAGAUCCGUGUGCACCGCCAAUCAGCACCUCCAGGGAAACCAUGGAAACCCCUGGAUGUAAACUCAUUUCGUCUGUGCGCAGCCUCCAGGAAGACCAUUCCUUAUAGGAGCGUCGUCCCCUGACCUGCAGCUUCUUUAGGAAGUGGAACUUGAAAGGAAAUAAUCCACAAUCACUCUUUUAGAGAAAAUCAGUUUAACAGCUCCAUCUUCAUCAUCCUGUGUAUCCACUUUCCCUCCUCUGCACAUGUCCAAACCACCUCAGCUCUGACUUCCUGUCCGUCACCACUGCAAACGAGAAGGGACUGAGAGCCGACCCUCCGAUGUAAUCUGUCUGUCCUUCAUAUUUACUGAUUACUACAUGAAAUUAAUAUUUUCAUAACUCACCUGGACUAUUUUACACUUUAACAGUGGAAAAGUGCUGAUUUGGACAUGGAAUUAAUGUGUUGCUGUUCGAGCCUCGCACAUGACAGAUUUUUACACUGCAUCAUUCAUCAUCUACAAACUGCAAUAAAAGCUCAAAAGAAGUUGUUUGUUAGCUUGAUAAGAAGAUGACAGUUAAAACUGCUCUGUCUUCUUGGUUGCCAUGGUGAAAUGUACUUUGAAGUCUGCACAUACAUGCAGACAGAAAUAUGCUUCCUAUUGAAAUUCGUCAGUUUCAAAGUCAAGCUGACAAAACGUCACAUUUGAGUCUGUGCUCUGCUUCCAGUUUAACCUCCGAGCCUUCACCUUUUAUCGCUCACUCAGAUAUUUUCCAACAAGGGGUUCCCCAAAGCAGCUCCUCACACUUCAGCGAGCUGCAUCGUGACAGCGUGUCGCAACACUUCUGGCUUUC